GACGAACGCUGGCGGCGUGCCUAACACAUGUAAGUCGAACGGGACUGGGGGCAACUCCAGUUCAGUGGCAGACGGGUGCGUAACACGUGAGGAACUUGUCCGACGGCGGGGGAUAGCCGGCCCAACGGCCGGGUAAUACCGCAUACGAUCCUUUGGGGGCAUCCUCGAGGGAUGAAAGCCACCGCAAGGUGGCACCGACGGAGAGUCUCGCGACCUAUCAGCUUGUUGGCGGGGUAACGGCCCACCAAGGCGACGACGGGUAGCUGGUCU
rnacentral:rRNA from 1 species